UACGUAGGGUGCAAGCGUUGUCCGGAAUUAUUGGGCGUAAAGAGCUCGUAGGCGGUUUGUUGCGUCGGCUGUGAAAUCCCGAGGCUCAACCUCGGGUCUGCAGUCGAUACGAGCAAACUAGAGUGUUGCAGGGGAGACUGGAAUUCCGUGGUGAUAGCGGUGAAAUGCGCAGAUAUCAGGAGGAACACCGGUGGCGAAGGCGGGUCUCUGGGCAACAACUGACGCUGGAGGAGCGAAAGCGUCGGGGAGCGAACAGG
rnacentral:rRNA from 1 species